ACGGGAGGCAGCAGUGGGGGAUAUUGCACAAUGGGGGAAACCCUGAUGCGGCAACGCCGCGUGAGGGAAGACGGUCUUCGGAUUGUAAACCUUUGUCUUUGGUGGCGAAACAAAUGACGGUAACCAAGGAGGAAGCCACGGCUAACUACGUGCCAGCAGCCGCGGUAAUACGUAGGUGGCGAGCGUUGUCCGGAAUUACUGGGUGUAAAGGGAGCGCAGGCGGGGAGGCAAGUCAGCUGUGAAAACCACGGGCUUAACCUGUGGACUGCAGUUGAAACUGUCACUCUUGAGAGAAGUAGAGGUAGGCGGAAUUCCGAGUGUAGCGGUGAAAUGCGUAGAUAUUCGGAGGAACACCGGUGGCGAAGGCGGCCUACUGGGCUUCAACUGACGCUGAGGCUCGAAAGUGUGGGGAGCAAACAGGAUUAGAUACCCUGGUA
rnacentral:rRNA from 1 species